CUCUAAAUUUAGUGGCUCUCCAUCCCACCUCUCUCGCUCUCUACUUUUGGAUAGCGUACCUCACUAGCUAUUCAAUACAGAGUCUGUUGGAGCACUUUAGUAUUUUCUUGUCAAAUCUAUUUUAGAGAGUAGCUAAAUUAGUAAAUUUAGCUAGUACUUUUAGAUAAUCUCUUGGAGGCAAAGGAAUGGAAAUAGGACCCCCUCAACUUCUAAGCGGUCUCAUGCUAAAAAAGAACAGAAAUACUAUAUGACACAUGUGUGUUUUGUGGUUUGUUGACACAUGAAUUUUGUGGCCACUCGAUGAAGAAUGAAACGUCGGAUUUGGUCUGAUCUGUGAUGGUUGCUUUGUGAGACUGCCGUGAAGAGCCCAUUGGGACACUUUUUGUAUUUCUCGAUCCGCGCGCUCAGACAGGAAAGGAAGCGGUUCUGGAGGUCGUCACUCUGUCUAUUCUCCCCUUUCCCUUGUGUGCUCUUCCCCGUCGAGCCUCGUCGGCAUCGCGGCGAUUCAAUAGGCGACGGCGCCUCUCCGUGCUCCUCCCCGUCGAGCCCGUCGGUGUCGCGGCGAUUCAAGAGUUGUGGAGGCAAGCUGAGGGAUGCAGCACUAAUGCCACUCAGUGUAUUGCUGCGCCCACUGCCCAGUGACAGGAACCUGCAGUAGAGGUGCUCUUGUUCUUUGUGCCCCCUGACUUCAAGGGUCUAUUACAGCCAACCUUCUAUAGCCCCUUGAAGACUACUUACUAGUUCUACUAGGACUAGAAUAAGCUACCCAAAAGACUGUUGAUGUGCCCUCAGUUAAGGACUGGAGGGGUUGAAGGGCUGCUAGUUUCAACAUCAUUCCCAGGAGCACUGGAGCUGCUAAGCUCAUUAUUGGGCAAGCUAGGGAUCAAUGCUACCAUUUGAUGUUUUCUUUCUCUUAUUUCUUUUUGGCUUCACUGGGAUUCUAUAAAACAUUAUUAGUUCAAGAAUUAUGCAUUUGGAUUCAAAUUCUAUUUGUAGCUACACAGUUUAUAAUGAAGCAUUGAAAAUUACUCUCCUAUUGUGCUGAAUUUACAUCGCAUAUAUGGGUGUAAUUUGCACAUGUGCACAUUGUAAUUUCGGUAUACUUGCAGUAUAAUUUUUACCCAUCUAUUCCUGUCAGUCUAAUCAUCUUUCUGUGAGUUCCUGAUUUAUUCCUGAUUUUGCACUAUGCUCUCUCUGCUUCUAGCCUUUUAGACCACAUCACAACCUCCCAAGUGCUGGAUCUGCUUCUUGUGCACAGUGAGCAACCAGAGCCAUGCCCUGCUAUUGGAGCAAGCACAAGCAGCAGUCCAUUUUUGCCAUCCUGACUGUGUUUAUAGUUCCCAUGAUUACAGAUUCCAUGUAUCUAGGUUAUCCUAAUCUUUCAUCUCAGUUGUUAUUUUGUUCGUUGUUGCUUCUUCAGAGAAAUUGAUUUACUAGAGAAAUUGAUUUAAAAGAUUGGUCUACUAACCUUACCUGAUGAGGUAUGAAUCAGACUUGUAGUGCUUGUUCUUCAAAUUUUCUUUGCAAUCUGAUUUCUGCCCGUGUCCCCUGCUGAGCAGAGCAGAGCUUUUCCCAAUGUAGAGCAGAUCUAUUUUGUUUGCUUUACUUUUUUUCCCAAGUCUUAUCUGUUGUUUUAUUCCUAUGGAUUCUUUGUUGUUGGACUGUUUUUCUGGGCUGCUGCAUGUUUCAUAGGCCAAUUUCUCUUUUUAGUUAUUGGGAUUUACUAUUUUACUCUUCGGUUGCACAAAAAUUACAACAGAUCGGCUCUGCGUGGGCCUUGUUUUAAAAUCAAGUGUUUUAUAGA